rnacentral:other from 1 species
UUAUUUCUGCCUUGUUUUCGUUAGUAUGGUUAUAUUAAUCCAACACUUUUACUCAGGGAGCUGGACUCUGACGGCGGAUUGCAGACCUCCUGGGCUUUCCAGACGAAGGGAGCGUGAACCCGUAAGGCUGGCACCCACCUGUCAUAUGUUGGCGGGUUUUUAAUUGCCAUACGACGGCAAGGCGGUCUUUAU